AUACUUACCUGACAGGGGAGAUACCAUGAUCAAGAAGGUGGUUCACCUUGGGCGAGGCCUGACCAUUGCACUCAAGUUGGGUUGACCUCAACUGGCUGGCUAGUGGACUGUGCAGUAUGGACAGCAGCUGCCUGUUUUCAUCUGCGCGCUGG
rnacentral:snRNA from 15 species